rnacentral:rRNA from 1 species
UGCUGGAGGUAUCAGAAGUGCGAAUGCUGACAUAAGUAACGAUAAAGCGGGUGAAAAGCCCGCUCGCCGGAAGACCAAGGGUUCCUGUCCAACGUUAAUCGGGGCAGGGUGAGUCGACCCCUAAGGCGAGGCCGAAAGGCGUAGGUCGAGGGGAGACGGGUUAAUAUUCCCGUACUUGGUGUUACUGCGAAGGGGGGACGGAGAAGGCUAUGUUGGCCGGGCGACGGCUGUCCCGGUUUAAGCGUGUAGGUGUGUGUUCCAGUUAAAUCCGUUUCACUUUAACACUGAGGCGUGACGACGAGGCACUACGGUGCUGAAGCAACAAAUGCCCUGCUUCCAGGAAAAGCCUCUAAGCAUCAGGUAACAUCAAAUCGUACCCCAAACCGACACAGGUGGUCAGGUAGAGAAUACCAAGGCGCUUGAGAGAACUCGGGUGAAGGAACUAGGCAAAAUGGUGCCGUAACUUCGGGAGAAGGCACGCUGACACGUAGGUGAAGUGAUUUACUCAUGGAGCUGAAGUCAGUCGAAGAUACCAGCUGGCUGCAACUGUUUAUUAAAAACACAGCACUGUGCAAACACGAAAGUGGACGUAUACGGUGUGACGCCUGCCCGGUGCCGGAAGGUUAAUUGAUGGGGUCAGCGCAAGCGAAGCUCCUGAUCGAAGCCCCGGUAAACGGCGGCCGUAACUAUAACGGUCCUAAGGUAGCGAAAUUCCUUGUCGGGUAAGUUCCGACCUGCACGAAUGGCGUAAUGAUGGCCAGGCUGUCUCCACCCGAGACUCAGUGAAAUUGAACUCGCUGUGAAGAUGCAGUGUACCCGCGGCAAGACGGAAAGACCCCGUGAACCUUUACUAUAGCUUGACACUGAACAUUGAGCCUUGAUGUGUAGGAUAGGUGGGAGGCUUUGAAGUGUGGACGCCAGUCUGCAUGGAGCCGACCUUGAAAUACCACCCUUUAAUGUUUGAUGUUCUAACGUGGACCCGUAAUCCGGGUUGCGGACAGUGUCUGGUGGGUAGUUUGACUGGGGCGGUCUCCUCCUAAAGAGUAACGGAGGAGCACGAAGGUUGGCUAAUCCUGGUCGGACAUCAGGAGGUUAGUGCAAUGGCAUAAGCCAGCUUGACUGCGAGCGUGACGGCGCGAGCAGGUGCGAAAGCAGGUCAUAGUGAUCCGGUGGUUCUGAAUGGAAGGGCCAUCGCUCAACGGAUAAAAGGUACUCCGGGGAUAACAGGCUGAUACCGCCCAAGAGUUCAUAUCGACGGCGGUGUUUGGCACCUCGAUGUCGGCUCAUCACAUCCUGGGGCUGAAGUAGGUCCCAAGGGUAUGGCUGUUCGCCAUUUAAAGUGGUACGCGAGCUGGGUUUAGAACGUCGUGAGACAGUUCGGUCCCUAUCUGCCGUGGGCGCUGGAGAACUGAGGGGGGCUGCUCCUAGUACGAGAGGACCGGAGUGGACGCAUCACUGGUGUUCGGGUUGUCAUGCCAAUGGCACUGCCCGGUAGCUAAAUGCGGAAGAGAUAAGUGCUGAAAGCAUCUAAGCACGAAACUUGCCCCGAGAUGAGUUCU